GAUCUCCCGCUUGCGGGGGUGAUUAGUGGCGAACGGGUGAGUAAUACGUGAGUAACCUGCCCUUGACUCUGGGAUAAGCCUGGGAAACCGGGUCUAAUACUGGAUACGACCCUUCAUCGCAUGGUGGGGGGUGGAAAGGGUUUGACUGGUUUUGGAUGGGCUCACGGCCUAUCAGCUUGUUGGUGGGGUAAUGGCUCACCAAGGCGACGACGGGUAGCCGGCCUGAGAGGGUGACCGGCCACACUGGGACUGAGACACGGCCCAGACUCCUACGGGAGGCAGCAGUGGGGAAUAUUGCACAAUGGGCGGAAGCCUGAUGCAGCGACGCCGCGUGAGGGAUGACGGCCUUCGGGUUGUAAACCUCUUUCAGCAGGGAAGAAGCCACAAGUGACGGUACCUGCAGAAGAAGCGCCGGCUAACUACGUGCCAGCAGCCGCGGUAAUACGUAGGGCGCAAGCGUUGUCCGGAAUUAUUGGGCGUAAAGAGCUCGUAGGCGGUUUGUCGCGUCUGCUGUGAAAGCCCGGGGCUCAACCCCGGGUCUGCAGUGGGUACGGGCAGACUAGAGUGCAGUAGGGGAGACUGGAAUUCCUGGUGUAGCGGUGAAAUGCGCAGAUAUCAGGAGGAACACCGAUGGCGAAGGCAGGUCUCUGGGCUGUUACUGACGCUGAGGAGCGAAAGCAUGGGGAGCGAACAGGAUUAGAUACCCUGGUAGUCCAUGCCGUAAACGUUGGGCACU
rnacentral:rRNA from 1 species